rnacentral:lncRNA from 1 species
AGCUCGCUUGGCUGACAUGCUCCAACAUCUUUUUCAUAUAGAAAGGGUUCAAGAGCACAAUUCAAAUAACUCGUCAUUUGUCUAAUUGCUUAGAGUAUGUUAACAUGAUACUUUAUAUAUUGUCUAAUUGCUUAGAGUAUGUUAACAUGAUACUUUAUAUAUUGAUAUUCUUCCGGUUGUUUCUUCAGAUGCAUUGAUUUCUCCAAAAUACUAAAUUGCACACCUAUCUCCUCACCUAUUUUUGAGUCUAACCCGUAUGAGCUAACUCU